GUGCGUGUGGUGGCACCAGUAAACUACCUCGCUCUACACCGUACGCGUGGUGGUGGUGGUGGUCUUUAUUUAACUAUAGUUUGCAAAAGCCUCAGCAUAUAACGAGGAGGAGGAGCUGAGGAACUGGGGAGGGACUAGGGAGCAGAGAGAGAGAGAUACGGUCACCGUCGUCUCCGCCUUGAUCUCCGGCUCCCGGCGGCAUGGAAAAGCUCCACCGGCCGAUGCGGGGGGUGGCGAGGUGCGCGAGGUGGAGAAGCAGGGCACGUGCAUGCAUUCUUUCCUCUCGCCGGCUUGGCAUUCCGGCAGCGCCGCUGCGGGCCGGUUGCCGCUGGCCGGCCGGCUAGCCCAGCUUGCUAGCUAGCUCCUGAAGCGCUGAUGCAUGUGCCCUUCUCCUCCACCGUGCGCGCCUCGCCUGAGCAGCUUUUGUGUGUUUGUGAGUGCAUGGAAGUAAUUUGAGCAAGCAAGACAGCUUUUCACUUCCAACGGGGUGCAUGCUGGAUCCACAGGUUUUUUUUGAAGCGGCUGCAAAGUAAGUACGCGCGCAUGUGAGUGCUAUAUUUAGCUUCAUCAUCUCAUUGGUUUCUCUUUUGCUAAAGGUUGUCAAUUUUGAUGGUUUCAUGGUUAUAGAUCUCGCGUAGGCUUAAAAUUAAAGUAUUCACGAUUCUCGCUGCUACUUCAACCGUGCGUGCUUGUUUUUUCUGAUAUUUUAAACCUCUUGUCGGUCUAAUUAUAUGAGUUUGAUGCCUUUUUUUGAGACUACUUAAGUUCGAUGGAAUUCGAUUCUUUCUCUGAUUUGCUUUUGCUUGCGAGGUUUGGCAAACAACACAUACUGUUCUUGACUAGCUAAUAAGAUAACAAAUUGUGCAGUUCUUCUGUUGUCCUUCCGAUCGAUCCAUUUCUGUGCAUGCACCCUCUGUAUUUUGCCGUCCGCUUCUGUGCUAAUAUAAAUCAGUAAUGCAUGAGGUACGAGACAUAUGAUUAGUGUAAGUACAGUAGCAGGAUUUACUUAUUGUAAGCAUUGAGUACUAUUGGAAACUGAAAUUUCCCUACAGGUAUAUCUUUUGAAAAAAAAAAUCCCUGCAGGUAAUUUUUUACAGUUACGACCAAACCGACAUGGAAAUUCUACAUUAGCCUGUCAGUUAUUGCAAAAUGCACACUAUACAUCCCUGUAGAAAUAUAUAUCCAUUUUAUCUUUGAAUAUAUAUUUGUUGUUAAAAAAUUGAUAUGGACUGCUGAAAUUUCAAGAUUAUUAUUGUUUCAUCUUUUCUUAACAUAUUUUUUUUUUGAAAAAAUUGUCCGAGAAAAUAUUACACACAUGCUAAAAGUGGCUUCCAUGCAUGUAGCAACUAAUGGUAAAAAACGCUGUGUUUCACUGUCGGGGUUCUUUUACCUUCAUCGGAUUCUUCUAUUCUUCUGCACCUAGCAACACAUGAGAAUUUCGCUAAAUUGGUUAUCAAGGCAAGCUAGACCUCCUCUGCACGUAAGAUGAAAAUGAGAAAAGAUUUUUACUGGCUCACCAGCAUACCCUACCAUGCAAUAAUGCUUGAGCUAGCUUUAUUUGCAUUAAAAAAUGCGUGAGCUAUAUGCAGCAAAGCCUUCUUUCAAAUGCCUCACCUUUGGCGAGCGAAUGAUCCAAGUGUUGAACACCGAAAGUGGUUGCACUAUUGCCGAAACAAGAGAGUGAUGAGCACGGAGCAUAGGAAAGGUACCAAAACAGCAGAGAGGUAAUCUAUAAUAUAAGUACCGUAUACAUUAUAAGUGUCUAUUAUUUGGUGUGGGUCAGUGCAUCUGCAUGCAGCAGGCUCCUACCUAAACUGCAGCAUGCAUGUGUGAAGCACCAGAUCGACCAAAAGUUACCGCUGCACCAUUUAAUUUUCUGUGUUAACCGCCAAUGAUCUAUCACGAGCAGUGUAAAAUAUCAGCCAAAGUUAAUUUGUCAAAUGUCACAUUUGCUACAGUGUCCCUUUCGCCAAGUUUCUCUGAGCGUUGAAGUCCGAAAGUCGUUGAAACUUCUGCCCUGACCUGAGUUCGACACUUUUUUAGAACAGAACCCAAGGGUAGUCUCCCAUGAGGGCUAUAUGUCUUAAUAGUUAUAUAUCGUAUAGUGUACGGUGUGGUUUCUAUUACUGUAUGGCCCAAUAUAGUUUAGUAUAUUUACAGCAUGUUAUUUGUUCAAUUAGCAAGGCAACCUAUGCAAAUAGCGUGGCUAGAUCUGUUGAUUUGUCCUUUUAAAUACCAUAUCUCAGUCAUUAUAUAUUUAUGAUUGAUUGAGACAUAAUUUUUAGAUUUUCUUCAUGAAUUUACAGAACACGGUUGCAUAUGCCUUCGUGAUUAUGCUUGCACGUCCUCUCUAUUGAUCAUUUCUCAUUAGUUUUCUCAAUUUGGCUAAACUAUAAAAAAGAGCAAAACAAGGAAAAUAGAAAUUAUGUUUUACUUCAAUUUGUACUCUUGCAGAUCCCUCCAUCUGUUGCUAAUAUCCCUUUCUUUUUUCACACAUUGUGCUUCUUGUCUAUGUUUUUUAUCUAAAAUUAGUUAUCAUAAAUCAUACUCCACUGUCCCAAAAUAUAGCUAUGUGCCUAUGUUUAGCCUUUUUGCCUAUGUUUAGCCUCUUUCAGACAGUUUAAGAAGAGUGACUAAAGGUCUAGCAUGCCCUUUAUUAAACAUAUCCACUGUCCAGUGAUAUAAAUGCGCGCGAGAUUUUGCGCAUGGCAGCAUUUCUAAUGCAUUAGUAGUUUGACCAUUUAUUUCUAGAGGAGGGGUAUUCAGGACCGUUUGUUGAUUAACUCAACUGUUGGAAUUUAAAAUGUAGUUAUAUUUUGGACAAAUUUUGAAUACUAAACGUAGCUAUAUUUUUGGACGGAGUUAAUACAAAAUAUGAUUUAUGAUUCACAUUUGCUUUCACUGGUAAAUGUGGUAAUUUAUAGUUCUUAUAACUGAAUAUAGAGAUUCAUUUAACACAGGUAUUAAAAUAAUUAAUACAUUUGCUUUUUUUGCCCAAGUCAACGCCGAAUGUUGCUUUGUAAUAACUUAACGUACUAUGACCUAUGUAACAAUAUCAUAUAUUUUCUUCCUUUUUUCAAUUAAAUUGUUGAUCAUAUAUUAGUAUUGAUGUUAUUAAUCUAUUAUAACUUAGGCCCAAGACAAAUCAAACAAUGUAGAUCUUUCUUGUCUACCAAUUAAUAGGGGAAUUUUUAACCCUUGAGGAAAAACAUGAUGGCUUAUUUUAAUUAUUAAUCUUGGUGGGGUCUGAAUUUGCUUCCCAAUAUCAAUAAAAAUAAAAAAACUAUUUUUCAAAUUUUUAUUUUGAAUUUUCAUAUUUAUUAAUUAUAUUUGCAUAUUUAUUAAUUGUAUUUGCAUGAACUCUUUAUUUAGCUAUGUUAAUUUCCAAUUUGUUUUGAAAUCACAUGCUGAUUUCCUUAUUUUUUUAAAAAUUCGUAAUUCCUUAUUUUCAAAAAUUCUUAAAAAAUUAGAAAUUAAGGUAUUCCGUACACGAGCCCAUAUUUAGCAUUGCUAUAAUACACCUGGGUGCAUCCUGUGCAUAGAAUGCACCCAGGCCGGUAGGCGCACCAGGUUAAAGCAACCAGCGCACCCAACCAAACAUGCGGUGCGUGCUUCCUAAGUUAAUUUGUAUCUUCCACAUACCACGCCAUACAAAUCCCACAAGACUACAUGCAUGCAUGCAUGGAAUAUUUUGUUGGUUCAAAUCUUUGAAAUAAAUUUUCUCUUAAACCGUAACUCUGAUUGAUAAACCAUUUGUGCAUCCGACUCAAAAAAAUAUUCUUAACAAAACUAGAUCCACUAUGGAUAUUUUUUUAUCGUUUAAGCAAGUUGCAUAUCUAUGUACUACCGAUUGUAACUCUGUCUACCACCGAGUUGCAACUAGCUAUAACUCUGUGUAUUAUCUGCAUCUGAUCACUAUAAUCACAUCAAGUUGCAAUUCUGAGUUGCAAUCAUAUCUUGUUGCAACUAGAGUAGCAACUGUAUUGCAACUGCGUAGUAACUAGUUGCAUCAAGUAGUAACUGGGUUGCAAUUGGGUAGUAGUAACUUGUUGCAACAAGUAGUGAUUGUGUGGCAAUGAGUUGCAACAAGUAGUAACUGGGUUUACAACCGGACAAAAACUUGUUGCAACUAGUAACAACGGGGAAACAAUUAGGUUGUAACUGGUUGCAACCCAUGAUAAUCGGUUGCAAUUCUAUUCAGUAGGAGUUGCAAGCAUACCUAGUUACAAUCAGAAUGGUAACUUGGUUGCAAUUGAUUAUUAACUAGUUGCAACUGGAAGUAGGUUAUAACUGGUUACAACCCAUGCUAAAUAGGCUACAAUCAAGUUGCAACUGAGUUGUAGAUGUGCUUGCAACUCAAAGUACAACUUAGUUGCAAUUACAUACUUAAAAAAACCUUCAUCAAAUAUAGCCUUCAUAGAUCUUGUUUUGUUAAGCACAUUUUUUCCAACAACCUACUUCAAAGGGAUCUAAAAUCUUCCAACAACCUACUUCAAAGGGAUCUAAAAUCGGAUCUGCAAUUUAGAAGAUAUCGUAUUUUUUUGAAUCGAAUCAAGAAAAGAUUCCAUCCAUGUACGCUGACGAGCUGAGGUUAGAAGACAAGCUUCCUGGUGGGUGGGUUGACUAGUGAGGUGGUGUCACGUGGUUGGUUGUUUCCAUUUAGUUUUGCAUGCAUGAGCACAGGUUUGACAGGAAAAUGUGGGGACACGUGCGGAGUUUGAUAGGGUUUGUGCACCCGUUGCGCAGAACUCCCACUUGUCCUCGGCCGCCCGAUUCUUAGCGCACCAACGCCGUCGGCGAGGCCCUCCACCGAAUUGUGCUUCUAACCUCAACUCGUCGGUAAGCUGUCCUCCAACCAUUCUCCCAAUUAGAUACAGGUAAUUGGAUGAUGAGGUUUCAUAUUUUUUUUGUUGAGGAUUUGAUCUUGCAUUAGAAGGCUUAUUUCUCAUAUCUUCUGAUUUUUAAUCGCAACAGCCGCAGCUUGUAGGAGGGUAGCGACCGUAGGCUAGCAAGGAUACGGCGUAGCAGCGGCUUGUGGGGGUGCUCGGCACCUGCAUCGGCAGGUUUGGGAGGAUGAGGUUCCUGAUGGAAGAGGAACUGGAGAAGCUCAAAGGUCGUGGACAAGGUUCCUAAUGGUGGGUUCGGCAGUGGCUUUGUGUUCUUCGCCUACCUCAAGACUCUCCAUGUCCGCUGCAGGACCCUGCCUGCUUGAGCUCUUCAGCUCCAUUCUCAGCUUUUCAGAUCAUGUGAUGGUUCUGACCAUGAUGGGCCCUCUAAUGGAUUCAGCUGUGAUUCUGGCCUCCAUCGUGGUGGAAGUUGCUUCAGAUUGACGGUAUUCGACCCCUCAAAUCAACCUGUCAUUUGAGUUUUGCUGUCAGUAAAUCGUGCAAUGAAUCCAUAAAAAUUCAAGGGUGGCUAAUCCCCUCUUCCAUUCAUCUAUGUUGAUUUAUAUUUUGGUUAAGAUUACAACAGCAUGGUGGAAGGACUUCGCAUUUGCUGGUACCGAAGCUAUAUUAAUAAAGAAAUUGUUUUGAUGCUAGCUAUUAGCCUUGCCAGUAGUUUUGGUGCAGUAUACUAAUCCUAUUUCCAAUUCUAACUCUUACACCUGCAUCAAUUAGUCCUAAAAUCUUCCCUUAUUCAGAAAGUUCAGAUAAAAUACUUUUAUUCAGAAAGUUCAGAUGCAAUGCAAAAUGGUAAUGUUAAUUAUUAUGAGAACUCUUUUUUGUUUUAUUUUAGUUUGCACAUGGGUGCCAUGGUGGCUUCCCUUGCAACGUUACUGCCAUCACCUGCGACCACCAUGGUAGCCUGCAACUCGUACCUAAGAAGGUAGUAAUUUCUGAUCCAUUCUGUUCAGAAGCCUAGAAAACUGGCAAAGACUUAUUAAUCUACAUGGAUUGAACCUACUGUUGUAUGAUCAUAUUGGGUGAGUCACCAUUAUGCCGAGUCAUUAGCUAUCUAUUAUAUAUGAGUGGUUCUGAACUAUUUCCAUCCUCCUGCAGCUCCAAGGUAAUUCGAACAGAUUGCUCAAAACAAACAAGAUUGAGUUUUGAUUGCAUUGUGAAAGACAUCCAAAAAAGCUGUUAGAUGAUGGUGAAGGCUGAAAUAGCUCAAGGGAGUGUAGAAAAUUCAUGUUAGUGUGAUGGCUCAUGUCCUUCUGAGACAUCCAUUUGUAUGCCUGUAAUAUAACCCUGCUUCAUAUGACGCGAUUAUGGAUCCCAAAGAAAUCAUAUGCUCAUGUGUCAUGUAGGUGAAGGCCAGAGUAUGCAUGUAGCUUAUUUGCUUUACUUGUAUGCCAAUCACUUGUUAGAUUGUAGGUUUAAGAUCUGUAAAUUGUUUCUAUACUUAGUUCCAUAGAAUUUCUGGAUCCUAAUCUUUUUUAUUUUAUUCAUAUAAUUAGCUCUAUUGAUUUUUGGAGGUUUGUAAUUUUUUAGUUUUUAUACCGUUCAUUCAUCUUUUCUAGAUUUUCCGUGAUUUUUAUUCUGUAUAAAUAUGUUACUACUUCGUGUUGAAUGUAUGCAUCAGAUCUGCACGCA